CUGUGAAUAUGAAAAUUACGUCAUGUUCAACAGGUCUUACACAGAUCCGGAAGAUGCACAGCGCUCUGAUGAUGAAGAGGAAGAUGCUUCUGUGAACUGCCAGAACAAGAAGAAACAGCCCCCCGUUAUGGAAGUGAAGCAGCAAGAUAUAGGGGAGCUGAAGCCUGGACCAAGCGGUUUAUGUGAAAAGCGCUUCAAAAGGAAGUGGGAAAUGCAGGAGCCUGCUGCCAUUUUGAUGAAGGAGAGCAUUGUUCAGGCAAAGCAUUGGACGAAGUCUCUCCAUCGUGAUCCUCCAAAAGAAUUCAGACACUCAGGUAAGGACACUAAUCGCAAGCCACUGGCAAAAGAAAACGGCAUGUAUUCCCUCAAAGUUUUUGUGUAAUAUGUAUAGCUAGCAUGGACAUGAAAAACGAACACACAGAANNNNNNNNNNCCAACAUCACUCCAACUGUUCCUAUGGUCAACAACAAACACAGUGAAACAACAUCAGGACAUACAACUGCUCCUGCGAGAUAUUCUACAUCACUUGUUUUUACAGAUUUCCCUUCCACGGGAGGUACAGAAUCUGGUGUUGUUGACCUAAAAGCAGCCCAGGUAACACAUGCAGACACCCAUGGUAUACUAGGACCUAGUGUUCCUUCCCAAGCCAUAACACAACAUACAGAUCAUCUUCCUGGCAAUGCUGCUCUGGUUUCUCACACACAGACCUCUACCACCCCUGAACAGCAACAUGCUUCCUCUCCUUCUCUCACUGACACCCCUCAGGAAAAACCUCAUAAACAUAAGAUCUCGCUCAAGGAAAUACAGCACUGGCCCCAGAGUGUUUUAAGAUCUAAAAAUGGACCUGUAAAUGGGAAUAACUCAACACAAGACCCCUCUCAGUCCCUACAAUUCAGCACAGAGAAGAUGUAUGUUUUACAAGCAGGCAAAACACAACUACAUCUAAACACCAAAGACUACCAGGUGAGACCCCCUGAGAGGUUUAGUGAUGAGGACUCCACUAUACGGCUGGAGAUUAAGUCCACCCCCAGGUACAUGACCCUGACGGCAGUUGCCACCGCUCCGCCGCCCCCCGUGGCUAUCGUCCCGCCAAUGGGUCCACAGCAGUCCCCAGAGCCCAUGGAGACAGAGAAUGCAGGCAAUGAGCUGCCAUUUAAGAUUUUACAGGCCUGGUCCAUCAACGAAAAACAGGCAGAAAACCUGUGGGAAAGAGCUAAAGAUGAUGCAAGUUCUCUCUCUGUCCUAAAUGAGAUGGUUCAAGUUGAGAGUCUUCUGGAGUGUGAUAAACCUGUAGAUGCAUCUGCAACAAGUUCAAUGGCAUCUACAGGAGUGGACAAUGAUGAGGUCCUUCAGGUCAUCACACAAAUGGACAAGAGAUCACCUUCACCAUUUGUCCACACCAACCCUCAGGCAACUGAUAUUGUAUGCAUCGGUGGUGCCCAGAUAAUCGUGGAAGGUAGCUCUAAUGUUGCAGAUGAGAACACUCUUGAUUUGUCCACAAUUGCUGAAGUUCAGUUCAAGUUAUGUGCGCUGCAGCAACUGGAUACUUAUCUGGAGAGUGCGACAACAGUCACAGAGGCAGAGGAUGGUUGUCUCGAGGCCAUAUUGGAGUUGUAUCGGGGAGGGGAUACCUCUGACCUGGUAGAGGCUUUAAAAGAUCAAAUGGAUGAGAAAAUCAUGCAGGAUGUGUCUGCCUGGGCCGCAGAGGAUGAGAAGGCCGUGGUUCUCUUUGCAGUCAGUGGUAUAUCACUAGGGGAAGUGCUCGAGAAGUUUCCCAUUCCAGUACAUGUUGACACCUCUUCCCAAGUGGGUUACAGGUCGUCAUGGUUAAAUGUCAACGAGAAGCUGAAUGACAUUGACAAAGAUUCUGGAAGAGCUUGGUCUCUGUGGUUCAUACCAGAUAAAGCAGAGGACAGUUCCAAAGUGGUUGGGGGUGUCCAGAUGGAUGACACCUUCCACAGCAAGAUGGAGACUGUGGAAUUUCCUGCAGAAGCAAUAGACUCAGACCUCACAACAAACACACACCUCACGAUGGACGUAGACCCCCCAACAAACACAGACCUCCCAACAAACGCAGACUUAGAGACAGAACCCCUUUCCCCAAUGAUUUUGACCGUCCUCACACCAGAGGACGCUGUGAAACUGCUUGCUGAAACAGAGGCACCAGACACAGACCUCAAAACGGUCGUAGACCUCACAACAGACUCGGACACAGAACCCCUUUCCCCAAUGAAUUUGACCAUCCUGAGAUCUGAGGAUGCCAUGAGACUGUUUUGCCAGAUCGAGAAUGGCUCUGACCUCCAAUUCGCGUCCCCUGAAUCCUGCUCUAAAAACAAAGAUAAGACACAGACAAACCAACUAGAGAAUAUAGAAAGUGGCAGCUUAGAUAAGUCCUGCUACUGUCCUUGUGGUAUUGAAACUGACAAUGGGUUUGAAAUGGGCCUAUGCUCCAGUUGUCAGAGAGAGAAAGGAUUGCAGCAAGAUACAAGAUGCAUAACAAUCGCUCACUGCUUUACCAUGUCACAUAGAAAUGAUCAGGAGACAGAGGUCCCUAAGGACUCUGGGGGGAAGGUGACUGCUGUUGACAAUCAAUGCAGGGACAAGAAGCAGACACAUUCAACUGAAGAAGAGGGUGAUGACAAUAAGACACAGGGUGAAAUGCAGCAAUGGACAGGCGUCAUACCGAUCAUUGACUUUUUUUUCUGGUCAGAUACAAGUGAGGAUUCUGAUCAGGAGACAGAGGAGAGCUAUAAUGAACAACAUGCUCAGAUUGAGGCUCAUGCUUCUAGUGUUAAAAGGACAGAGCCUGAAACUGAUGCCAAAGCACCAUGUGAGUCAGCCCAAGAACGUACGACCCAAAGCAAAGUCAGUCCUGGUUCUGAGGAUAGGGAAAGAUGGCAAGAGAAGGACCAAGACUGUAGGAUGAGUACAUUACCACUUCCCAAGGUUGAAAACCCCUCUAAGUUAAGAGCUAACAUCAUAGCAGACAACUGGUUUUCACCUAUAGAGGACUGUGGUUCACCUGUAGAAAAGUAUGACAAAGUUGCUGACUUUGUCACCCAAUACAAAACCUGCAAGUCAAAGCAAAAAGGACAUAAAAAAAUGGAAAAGGAGAAGUCCCUCCAUCCAACGUCAUCUGACAGGCAAAGUUACAAGAAAAGCCAUGGGAGAGCAGAGAGGGGAAGGACACCAUCCCAAACCACUAAGUGCUCUGGGUUGAAGGCAACUGUGGAUAAUCAAUGCAGGGACAUGAAGCCACAUGCAUCACACAAGACGAGACAUUCAACUGAGAGUGAUGGAAAUCGAUGUAAAGACAAGAAGAGGGGAUCAUCAACUGUGAAAGCGUGUGAAGGCUGUCAAUCCAGGGACAAGAAGCCACCGAAGAGGAGACAUUCAACUGAGAAAGAGAGAGAGGAUAAUCAAAGUAGGGACAAGAUGUCACAGAAGAGAAGAUAUUCAACUGAAACUGACGGCAGGAACUCAAACUCCAAAGAGUUACAGUGCCAGUUGGUGGACAUAGAGAGGAGCAGUGGAAGCUCACUCCCGUGCCCUGGGGUGAAAACCCUCCAUGUGCAGGGAUCCUCAAAUACCACCGUUCCUCUCAAAAUCUCCAUAAACAUCCCCAAAAAGCCUUCCAUAAACACCUCACCCUCAAAACAUGCAGAGGAAAUCCUCAAAAUCCCGAAGACUAAAGCCCAGAACAAAACUAACAGACACUGCUCCCUUGCAAAGUCGGUGUCUCCUGUUGUCAAAGAGAGGCAGAGGAAUGGCGGCAAACAAAAGCAAACAAUUCAAUGCUUAAAAAUCAGAUUGGAAAAGCUGUCCUUACCCCAAAAUCUUGUCAGGAAAGGUUCUCCACCAAGCCGGAAGAGGGAGGAAGGUUCUCCACCAAGGCAGAAGAGGGUGGCAGAUAGAGGAGAGCCUGAGGGUUUAGGGGUAAAUGUUUCUAGGCAUCCUGACUUGUCCAAGAAACUAAAACGUAAGGCACAGAGCGACUUGAAAUCCCAACAGAAUUUGACAAAGAUUCCGAAGGUGUUGAAUGGAGUGUUUUCAAAAAGUGAGUGUAAGAAUGACUCGCCGCCAAGGAUUCUGAAGCUUCCAAGGACUCCAGAGGUUUCAAAGGAUUUGCAUGAGAGAGAGAACAGGAAAGAGCCAUCUCCCAGUGCUUCCCCUGAAUCACAAAUGCUGGACAAACCUGCAAGAGUGGCACACAAGCCCAAAUAUUUUAUCAAACCUGCCAGUCCCAGUUGUUACAGCCCAGGUAGUCAUGCUUGCCCUAAUACGGCCAUGGUUUCACCGUCACAUGGCAACGUAGAUUUUGGUGAAAAAGUCUCUGCGAGGCAACAGGUGUUCUCAGAUUGGGAGAGCAGCUUUGUCCCGACUCCAACCCCCCGGACUCGCAGGCGAUCAGGGUGUCCUCCAGAGGAAGUGGAAGGUCAACAGGCCAGUCGCAGGUCCAGCUCGGAGACCAGGAUCAUCCGACCCAUUCUAAAACGUGUCGAUGCUCCGCCGAAACCCAAGCGGAACAUCAGCUUUCAUUUGAAUCCAAGGAACGUGCAUUACUUCAAGCCCUGUGAAUAUGAAAAUUACGUCAUGUUCAACAGGUCUUACACAGAUCCGGAAGAUGCACAGCGCUCUGAUGAUGAAGAGGAAGAUGCUUCUGUGAACUGCCAGAACAAGAAGAAACAGCCCCCCGUUAUGGAAGUGAAGCAGCAAGAUAUAGGGGAGCUGAAGCCUGGACCAAGCGGUUUAUGUGAAAAGCGCUUCAAAAGGAAGUGGGAAAUGCAGGAGCCUGCUGCCAUUUUGAUGAAGGAGAGCAUUGUUCAGGCAAAGCAUUGGACGAAGUCUCUCCAUCGUGAUCCUCCAAAAGAAUUCAGACACUCAGCAAAAAUAACUGGAGUUGGUUACAAGUGGUCCGAGAAGCAGAAGAAGAGGCCAAAUGAAAUUGAAGGUUCCUCUCUGAAUGCAAGCCCCCUUCACGGUCACCAUCCAGGUUCCUUUCAGAAUGCNNNNNNNNNNUUUUUUUUUCAAAUUUUGUCUGUCAUAGUUGAAGUGUACCUAUGA
rnacentral:lncRNA from 13 species